rnacentral:lncRNA from 1 species
GGUCCCUGAGUGUGGAGUUCGCUGAGCGGGGAGUGGCUGUGAUGUUUAAGAAAGACCAAAGGGACCAGCUUGGCUGGGGGAGUGAAGGAGGAGAGAGGAAGCCAGAGAUGGGAUCAGACAGGUAACAGAACAAAGCAUCUGGCUGUGUAGGUCAAGGCUGUAUGGGAAGCAUGGCGGUAUCUGCUCGGCUUCUGGGGAGGCCUCAGGAAAACUACAAUCAUGGCGGAAGGUGAAGGGGGAGCCAGCACUUCACAUGGCCAGGAGCAGCAGGAAGUGGAAGAGGUGCUACACACUUUUAAACAGCCACAUCUCAUGAGAACUCACUAUCUCCACAACAGCACCAAGAGGGAUGGUGUUAAACCAUGAGAAACCAGCCCCAUGAUCCAAUCACCUCCUACCAAGCUCCAUCUUCAACAAUGGGAAUUACAGUUCAACGUGAAAUUUGAGCAAAGACACAGAUUGAAACCAUACCAGCCAUAGAUGGGUGCUGCACAGCCAGGGCUUUCCGUUUGGAGCUGCCCAUUAAAUACCCAGUUGCUGUGCCCAUUCACUGGCAGGCCAAUUAAUACUUUCUAAUAUAAUUUAAUAAACCCUUAACUUUGUGAGUGGCCAAAUGGCUACUACUACUCAGUUUUCAAGACUCAGUUCCAAUAUGCAGAUAAAGUUGUGAAAGAAUGGAGAAAACUGUUAAGAUUAGUUAUCUCUGGGAAAGGAGAGUAGGUAGGGGUGAUCAUGAGAGGGACUUUUCACUGUAUAACCUCCUAUGCUAUUUGAAUAUCUCACAAUAUUAGUGUAUUAUUUUUAUAAUUGGAUUUUCAAAAGUUAGAGAAAUGGGGGUGCCGUCUUUGUUUUUUUUGGUUUAAAAAUGACCUAAAAUGUCUUGUAAAGAAGGCGCAAAAGCCAUAUGGGAAACAAUAAGUAAAAAUACCUUAAGUAGUUUUUAAAAAUUAUUGUCUUAAACAUCAUUGAGAGCUGUUGUCUCAUUUAAAAUGUACUCAUUAACACGCCAAAGGAUAAAAUAAAUAAGUAAAUAAGGA